rnacentral:rRNA from 1 species
UGGGGAAUAUUGGACAAUGGGCGCAAGCCUGAUCCAGCCAUGCCGCGUGGGUGAAGAAGGCCUUCGGGUUGUAAACCUCUUUUAGCAGGGAAGAAGCGAAAGUGACGGUACCUGAGAAGAAAGCCCCGGCUAACUACGUG